rnacentral:rRNA from 1 species
UACGUAGGGUGCAAGCGUUAAUCGGAAUUACUGGGCGUAAAGCGUGCGCAGGCGGUUUCGUAAGUCUGUCGUGAAAUCCCCGGGCUUAACCUGGGACUGACAUUUGUGACUGCAUCGCUGGAGUGCGGCAGAGGGGGAUGGAAUCCGCGUGUAGCAGUGAAAUGCUUAGAUAUCGUCAAGAACACCGAUAGUGAAGACAGCUAACUAGCUUAACUGACGCUGAGGCACGAAAGUGUGGGGAUCAAACAGGA